GAUGCGAUAUUAACAAAGCAAAGUGGGUAAGAAAGGUUAAAUGCUUCAGUCCAAUGAUAUAUUCAUGCAGUAAGGAAACAUUUACCAUUCAAGUUAUGGUGAUACAAAUCCUUUCGCGAACUGAGUGAGUGACACUGAGCGACGCCACGGAGCAUGACAGAUGACACAAAUAGACGUGUCACUAAUGGCUCGCUCUUUAGUGGAGAUGGAUGGUAAGCAUUAUAGGAGCUCAAAUUGAAGUAAUGCAGUGCUAAAAAGACGACGCUAGUGAAUGGUUUAACAAGGCUGCCUAUCUCCCGUUUGUUUCUCCUAUAUGAUUUUUGGUCUCCGUCUUACGCCACCACCUCUCAUAUUAAUCUUCCCAGCCUUCAAGUAAUCACUCAUCGAUCCAUGAAUGGGAUGAAAGACAACUGUGACACUCAUCUUGGUUCCAUAUCCAAGAAAGUCUAGAUCCGUGUUUCUUUAGAAACCAUCAACCGAAUUAUGACAUAUUUGUAAAGAGUAUUUUUUGUACGUGCAUUAUUGUGAAAAUGUAGUAAUGUCUUGAUUUACCUUUGAGGAUUGUAUUACACUAUCAAUAAGAAAUGAGCAUAACAUCAGAGAAUUUCAAAGCUUAAGGUUAAAGAUUUUUUUUUCUUGCAGAAAGUUGAAAAAAGAAUGAACUCUCACAGAGGGCACACAAAUUCAGUGAAACCUUGAAGCAGAAAAAAAAUGAAUUGCCCAUUGCCUCCAUGCUGCACUCUGCCCCUUUGAUCUUUGAGCUCUGCGAGGAUAAAAGCCCUUCACCCUAAAACACAGCCUGGUUUUAUAUUCGGGAUCCCACAGUUUACCUUUCCUGUUUUAUCCCCACGGCCAUUUAUCGACCGAGCCACUCUGGACGACAAACAGCUUGCUGGGAUGAGCGCUAGACUGGAAAAGAAAGCUGGUGAAUAGGUAGCCAGGCGAGGCAACCACACCAACAGGAAGGAGCGCGCGGUAUCUUCUGUGUUCAAACAAACGAUACAGUAAAUCUCGGACGCUCCCACACCUCACGGCGUGGGGAGUUUUACACCUCGCCUUUAGUGCUCAAAGCUGCGCCACGUAAUGCAUCAAGGCUUCAUUCACUUUAAGGGAAAAUUUUCGAUGAUGAGGUUGAUUCUCAGCAGACAACCUCUUAAAACUCACCGCCAAAAGAGUUUGACGUGAAGUUUACCGUCUGGCUGAAGUGUGCACGGCAGGCUGAAGGGACUGUGGCGCGAGGCGACUCGAGGCAGGAGUGGCGAUGCUGAGGGUUUAUUGUGUACCAUGACAACACGAAGGGAAGGAGUGAAUACAGUUGAGACUCAUGUCAUUCCCGCUACAGCUGAAUUUCACUAUAGUUUAUAUCAAAAUGAAACUUCUGACAGGUAAUUUUUUAGUGGUGAAUUGGAAUGGUGACUGACUCAUUAAUAUAAACAAGAUGCUUCUUUCCCACUCUCCCCAUUACAAUAACGACGGCUAACACUGAGGAGGCGAGACCUAAGAAAUUGAUAAGGAUAUGGCAGUGGCAAUGGAGGGAAUAAUGAUGAUGAUGGAGACGUAUGACUGACAAUAAUGACAGCGGCGGUGAUGAUGGCGGCUUCAUACAUCAUUACCUGACAAGCUCAGUAAUUCCCUCCUCCAAUCCUGGAGCUGGACACUCUGGGGCUUCUGCGGCGGACGUGAAGUGAGACUCUUCUCUCCAUAAGUUAGCAUUGCUUCCGCCUCGCUGGACAGCCUCGAGUGCGUACUUAUCUCCGCCAUCUGUGACGACCACCGCGAGAAAUGGCAACACAGAUAACCUAUAUUUUACUGCUGUUCCUGUUAAAGGUGACUUGUUUCAACUAGAAUUAUAUGCCCAAGUGCCAGUGUAGGUAUCAUAAAUUCCCAACAUGUUCAACAAGCAAAAUUGAUUUAUGAUUUAUACAAAAACAUAAAGCAAAGAAGAAAGAAAAGGACCAACAAAUGUAAAACCGAAAAUUUCAAGAUUAUGCAUGACAGCGGCAAAUUUCUCAAGUUUCGAGAAUAAUACCAAUGGUUAAGAAAAACUGCAGCGCCACAAUGAAUACUUCAGCGUGACACCUGGUGACGGCCACAGUUUCAUGUC